rnacentral:rRNA from 1 species
GCAAGUCGAGCGCGCCCUUCGGGGUGAGCGGCGGACGGGUGAGUAACGCGUGGGAAUAUGCCCUUCUCUAAGGAAUAGCCUCUGGAAACGGAGAGUAAUACCUUAUACGCCCUUCGGGGGAAAGAUUUAUCGGAUUUGGAUCAGCCCGCGUUAGAUUAGAUAGUUGGUAGGGUAAUGGCCUACCAAGGCAACGAUCCGUAGCUGGUCUGAGAGGACGACC